GACGAACCGUGCGAACGUUAUUCGGAAUCACUGGGCUUAAAGGGCGCGUAGGCGGGCUGCCAAGUUUGGGGUGAAAUCCUCCGGCUCAACCGGAGCAGUGCCUCGAAUACUGGCGGUCUCGAGGGAGGUAGGGGCGUGCGGAACUGUGGGUGGAGCGGUGAAAUGCGUUGAUAUCCACAGGAACUCCGGUGGCGAAGGCGGCACGCUGGACCUUUUCUGACGCUGAGGCGCGAAAGCCAGGGGAGCGAACGGG
rnacentral:rRNA from 1 species